UACGGGGGGGGCAAGCGUUGUUCGGAAUUACUGGGCGUAAAGGGUUCGUAGGUGGCCCGCUAAGUCAGACGUGAAAUCCCUCAGCUCAACUGGGGAACUGCGUCUGAGACUGGCAGGCUUGAGUGCAGGAGAGGAACGCGGAAUUCCAGGUGUAGCGGUGAAAUGCGUAGAUAUUGGGAGGAACACCAGUGGCGAAGGCGGCUCACUGGACUGGUACUGACGCUGAGGCGCGAAAGCGUGGGGAGCAAACGGG
rnacentral:rRNA from 1 species